rnacentral:rRNA from 1 species
AAAUAACUUGUCAAAAGAAGUUCGAGUUUUACUUAUAAGAAAAAUAAUUUUAAAAUUAAAUUGUUAGUAAUUUUUAAUAAAAAUAAUCUUAGACUAUAGUUAAAAGUACUGUAAAGGAAAGUACAAAAAUUUAAAAUAGUAAGUUUAAAAUUCUGUACCUUGUGUAUCAGGGAAAGUUUAUAUAAAUUAAUAAUAUUAAAUAUCUCGAAAUAAAAGAUAGCUAAUUUUAUAAAAAAUUUUUUGUAGAAAAUAAAUUUUAAAUAUAAAAUUAAAGGUGAAACGCUAAUCGAGUUUUAUAAUAUCUAGUUCUUUAAAAAUAAAUUUAAUUUAAUUUUUAUGUGGUCAAAACAUAAAAGUAAAGUGUAGGAGGGAUUAGCUUCUUAUAAAAUAAAGUAAUAAAAAGUUAAAAAAAUAAUAAUAGUGAAUUAAGCUUAAGAGUAGCUAUAUUAAUAAAGUGUUUUAGCUAAAUUAAAGUUAAAUAAUAUUUGUAAAACCUUUUUGUAGUAUUAAAGAAUUAAUUUAAAUAAAAAAAAUUUAAUUAUAAUGAUUUUAUUAGUAAAAAUUUAUUAUAAACGAAAAUAAUAGAAUAACGAGGAUUAUUUAAAGUUAAUUUGGUAAUAUAAAGGAACUCGGCAAAAGUUAUUUUCUUUGCCUGUUUAUCAAAAACAUGUCUGUUUGAAGUUAUAGAAAGUUUAACCUGCCCACUGAUGAAUAAAUAAAAGUUGAAUGGCCGCGGUAUCUUGACCGUGCAAAGGUAGCAUAAUCGUUAGUUUUUUAAUUGGAAUCUUGUAUGAAUGGUUGGACAAAAGAAAAACUGUCUUUGUAUUGUUAAUUGAAUUUAACUUUUAAGUGAAAAGGCUUAAAUAUAUUAAAGGGACGAUAAGACCCUAGAAAGCUUAAUAUUAAAAUUUUAUUUAGUUGAAUUUUAAACCAUAAAGACUUAGUAAUUAAAUUUAUUUUAUUGGGGCGAUAAGAGUAAAAUGAUUGUUAACUGCUUAAUUUUUAAUACAUUAUAGAUGAUUAAAUUUUUAGAUGAUCCUAAUUGAAGAUUAAAAGUUUAAGUUACUUUAGGGAUAACAGCGUUAUUUUUUUUGAGAGUACUUAUCGAAAAAAAAGUUUGCGACCUCGAUGUUGAAUUAAAAUGUCUUUAUAAUUGCAGUAGUUAUAAAAGUAGGUCUGUU